rnacentral:rRNA from 1 species
UACGGAGGGUGCAAGCGUUGUUCGGAAUUAUUGGGCGUAAAGCGCGUGUAGGCGGCUUAGCAAGUCGGGCGUGAAAGCCCUCGGCUCAACCGAGGAAGUGCACCCGAAACUGCUGAGCUUGAGUUCCGGAGAGGAUGGCGGAAUUCCCCAAGUAGAGGUGAAAUUCGUAGAUAUGGGGAGGAACACCGGUGGCGAAGGCGGCCAUCUGGACGGUAACUGACGCUGAGACGCGAAAGCGUGGGGAGCAAACAGG